rnacentral:rRNA from 1 species
GACGGGGGGUCCUAGCGUUGUUCGGAAUCAUUGGGCGUAAAGCGUGUGCAGGUGGUUUGGUAAGUUGGAUGUGAAAGCCUUGGGCUUAACCCAAGAAGUGCAUUCAAAACUACCAAACUUGAGUAAGGAAGAGGGUCGUGGAAUUCCAGGUGUAGUGGUGAAAUACGUAGAUAUCUGGAGGAACACCGGUGGCGAAGGCGGCGACCUGGUCCUAUACUGACACUCAUACACGAAAGCGUGGGGAUCAAACAGGAGUUAAGAAACCCCUG